UACGUAGGGGACGAGCGUUGUCCGGAAUUACUAGGCGUAAAGGGCGCGCAGGCUGUAGAUCAAGUCAGCUGUGAAAUGUCUGGGCUUAACCCGGGCAUGCGGUUGAAACUGAUGUACUGGAGUGCUGUAGAGGCAAGUGGAAUUCCCAGUGUAGCGGUGAAAUGCGUAGAUAUUGGGAAGAACACCGGUGGCGAAGGCGACUUGCUGGGCAGCAACUGACGCUGAGGCGCGAAAGCCUGGGGAGCAAACGGGGAUUAGAUA
rnacentral:rRNA from 1 species